rnacentral:rRNA from 1 species
AUUGAACGCUGGCGGAAUGCUUUACACAUGCAAGUCGAGCGGCAGCGCGGGGGCAACCCUGGCGGCGAGCGGCGAACGGGUGAGUAAUACAUCGGAACGUGUCCUUGAGUGGGGGAUAGCUCGGCGAAAGCCGGAUUAAUACCGCAUAAGCUCUGAGGAGGAAAGCGGGGGACCUGGUAACGGGCCUCGCGCUGUUGGAGCGGCCGAUGUCGGAUUAGCUAGNGGUGGGGUAAAGGCCCACCAAGGCGACGAUCCGUAGCUGGUCUGAGAGGAUGAUCAGCCACACUGGAACUGAGACACGGU